GUUCAGCGAUUGAUCGAGCAAACCAGAGGUUUGAGUUGUAAGGCUGGACUGAAGUUGGAUGAAUAGAGCAUGUUAAGUCCCAGGGAGAGAGGCUGAUGAAAGAGCACACAAAAAGGGUCAGUGUCCACUUUAUGGCCCAGGCUACUAUAAAAGUACCAAGAAGCACUGCAUGUGUAUCUCCUGACAAGAGUUUUGUGUGUAGAGCUACAGCAGUCUCCACUGUCACAGGAGAGAGAGGGAGAGAGAAGGAUUCUGAAUUUCUGGCAAGAAAAAGAAUCCCAAAACUUAGUACCACUGC